rnacentral:lncRNA from 1 species
ACGCGUCAGGUUAUAAAUGACCCUGUCUCCUUUGUUUGGUGUACUCUCGUGGCAAAACUCCUGGUGAGUGUACCCUUUCACAGAAAGUAUAAAAAUGUCCUUGCUGAGUAAAUUAAAUUUAUGUUCAAGUGCUAUUUCUUUACGGCACCAGGGAACAAGCAUUUCAAACAGAGGUGACUCAAUGGUGUUUCAGCGUCCAGGUGGCACGGUGUUCUCUCACUCCACCUCGACGGCCCAUGUCCACAAGAGGGUUCCUCCCAACAAGAAGCCUGUUCUACAACCUCAGCAGUUGUAGACUUAGUCCCAUCUUUCCCAGCUGAGGGUCCAGAACCUUGGCUGUCCCCAUCAAGGUCAGAAUCUACCUUACGUAAAAUAAUUUAUGAAAACUCUUUCAGAUCAUCCUGCAGUGAUUUCUUCCUGGUCAGGUGCCCUGGUUGAAGUCCAUGACGUCUCUUCCUGGCAAAGCCUGUUUAGAGCUGUUAUAUCCUGGUCCGGAUAAAAUAAGCCAGCUAGCUCGAGAAGGAAACUAUUGUCUUGGGAACUUGAGUGCCUGGAUCGUGGUGAGCUGGAGCUGAGUGCCCGAUACAUUCCAGCUGCCUCUUCAUGUCCAGUCUACACCCUCCAUCCUGCUGCCUGGGAGCUGAUCUCUAUGGCUCCAGACCCUCUUCUGGGAAGGACUCAGCCACGCUUCCUCCUCGGAUCACAGAAGACUCCAGAUGCAAGCUGUCUGUUUGCAACAGUGUGCAGGGCUUCUCUGACUGGGAGGCUGCUCCUGUCAGCUGUUCACCUUCUUCACUGACUCCAGAGUGUGCACGUGAGCCUGCCUGGAGGCGCUUGGACAAUCAUUUACCCCAUUUAAAAAAAACUGGCCUGCGUUCUUGACUGCAAAAACUCAUUAUCAUAAAAAUGCCAUGUCCUCUUAAGUUAGCCUAUAAACUUAAUGUAAUGCUAAUAAAAAUAGCAAUAGG